AACGAACGCUGGCGGCAUGCCUAAUACAUGCAAGUCGAACGAUCACUUCGGUGGUGAGCGGCAGACGGGUGAGUAACGCGUGGGAACGUACCCUUUCCUACGGAAUAGCUCCGGGAACCUGGAAUUAAUACCGUAUACGCCCUUAGGGGGAAAGAUUUAUCGGGGAAGGAUCGGCCCGCGUUGGAUUAGCUAGUUGGUGGGGUAAAGGCCUACCAAGGCGACGAUCCAUAGCUGGUCUGAGAGGAUGAUCAGCCACAUUGGGACUGAGACACGGCCCAAACUCCUACGGGAGGCAGCAGUGGGGAAUAUUGGACAAUGGGCGCAAGCCUGAUCCAGCCAUGCCGCGUGAGUGAUGAAGGCCUUAGGGUUGUGAAGCUCUUUCAGUAGGGAAGAUAAUGACGGUACCUACAGAAGAAGCCCCGGCUAACUUCGUGCCAGCCGCCGCAGUAA
rnacentral:rRNA from 1 species